UACAGAGGGUGCGAGCGUUAAUCGGAAUUACUGGGCGUAAAGCGCGCGUAGGCGGGUUUGUAAGUCGAUUGUGAAAGCCCUGGGCUCAACCCGGGAACUGCAGUCGAAACUGCAAAUCUUGAGUGCCUGAGAGGAUGGCGGAAUUCCCGGUGUAGAAGUGAAAUUCGUAGAUAUCGGGAGGAACACCUGAGGCGAAGGCGGCUAUCUGGCGGUGCACUGACGCUGAUGCGCGAAAGUGUGGGGAGCAAACAGG
rnacentral:rRNA from 1 species